rnacentral:rRNA from 1 species
CCAAUAGCGUAUAUUAAAGUUGUUGCAGUUAAAAAGCUCGUAGUUGAAUUUCGGGAUCAAUAUGUUGGUCGUGCCUCGGUACGUACUAGCUUAUUGGUUUCUCCUUUCUGAAGAACCAUGAUGUCAUUUAUUUGGUGUCGUGGGGAAUCAGGACUGUUACUUUGAAAAAAUUAGAGUGUUUAAAGCAGGCUCACGCUUGAAUACAUUAGCAUGGAAUAAUGAAAUAGGACGUUUGAUUCUAUUUUGUUGGUUUCUAGGAUCGACGUAAUGAUUAAUAGGGAUAGGUGGGGGCAUUAGUAUUCAAUUGUCAGAGGUGAAAUUCUUGGAUUUAUUGAAGACUAACUACUGCGAAAGCAUUUGCCAAGGAUGUUUUCAUUAAUCAAGAACGAAAGUUAGGGGAUCGAAGACGAUCAGAUACCGUCGUAGUCUUAACCAUAAACUAUGCCGACUAGGGAUCGGAUGAUGUUAAUUUUUUAAUGACUCAUUCGGCGCCUUAC